AGAGAGCCACGGGCAAGGGGCUGAACAGAGGGGGGUCCGAUGCCAGUGACUUAAAAAUGCCCCCCUAGCAUCAAGAGGUGCCAGCCGUGUCAACUUAGGUGAGGAGCAGUGACACCACAACCAUACCCCAAAUAGGGUGAGCCUCCACCUCCGAAGAGUCAUCCCUGGGCCAGACAACAGCCAAGGCAAGAGUGAUGGCUAGUAGGACCCCACACACAUACACUGGAGAAUGAAGAGCCUUGUGUGAGAAAUUUUCCCAAGAACUAGGAAAGGGAUGGCGGUGGAAGCCCUGUUCCCAGGACUAACUGAGCUUCCCAACAGACGGGAGUCCCGAGAGUCCCUAGCCUGGAGACAUUUUCUGAAGACGUGGGAAAAGGAGAAAAAGCGGGUCAUCCCCUGCGGCAGGCCUCCAAGGGACAACACCGAGAGCACCAGCCAGGAGAAAAGGCUGCCUCGCCCCCCCCCACUCAGACGACCCUGAAAGUAUGUCAUCCAGCAUCAAGGCCACCACAGUCACCAUGAAGCAAAGGUCUUCCGGGGACCCUGGGAUCUUGGCAAGAGCAGGGUGAGUGCCCACAGAAGAAAAUGAAUUAUCCGUGUGGCCACUCAGUCAGUCCCUGCGUGUCAUCUGCUAUGUCCACUGUCAUGUGCAAAGUUGUCAGCAGUAUCUAGGGACCCCAAAUGAUAACCUAUGGGCCCUGACCUCAGGCAACUGAAGAGGUAAGUAGGGAUGGCCCAGAAAUGAAACAUCCUAAGGCCAUGCAGUAUGAGGCAGCUUACAAGCCAUCCUCUCAAGCAACAUUCGACGUGGCCCUGAUUUGGGGGCUGAGGGAAUCUGGCAGGCUCCCUUUCCUCAUAAAGGAAGGUGUUCACAAAAGAAGACUAUACCGCAAGGGUUGGGAAGAAACAGAGCUCACAGGAUGGGCAAGAGCAUGAAAGAGUUGGGUUGGUUUCUCGCCAGUGGUCACUUGCCCAGAGUCAAUACAGAGACUGGUGGGGGGGCAAGGGCAGGAACCAAAGGUGAGAGGUCACAGAGGGUUUAUCUAAUAAGUGCAAGGCCCUGGGUUCCGUUCCCAGCCCUGCAGAGAGAAAAAAAGUUAACUGCACACUUUAAAUGAAUGGGCUCUACCUCAAGAAAGCUAACUUGAAGAGAAAAAGGGAACGAAGAUGGAGAUUUCGGUCGCAGAGGGAUCCAGGGCAGGGGAAGAACAGGGCGGGAGGGAAGCAGGCCACUACCCGUGCUCACACUCCUUCUCCUGCCCAGGCAGGAAGCGAGCCGCAGCCCCAGCGCCCAUGCCCCCAGCGCCCAUGCGCGCCUGUCUCCCAGCCUGAGGUGCAGUGCUGCAUCUCUGGUCAGUUGGGAGUCUGAGAUGAAGCACUGUAGCUCAGGAAGGGAGAAGCUGUUCUGCAGCCAUCGCCGGGAAGUGGUAAGUGUUGGCGUGGGGUGGCAGGCCCGAGAGGUUGUCCCUAGACUCCGCUCCAGCCAUCCACGAGCCGUCCUUGGCUCAAAGCUGCACCAGGGCUGACCACUCUUGUGCAUCUGCAACGGUAGGCUCUGGUCCAUUCAGUGGCAGCUAGAACCAACCCGUAGAAGACACUGCUGAAGGAAAAGAUACGUCUCCUUCAAGAAACUCUGCCGUCCCUCUCUAUCCAUUCUGGGAGGGUUCUGACACACCCUCAGAAUCCUUCUCAACACUGCAGACCCAAAUACCCACUGUAACUGAUUCACCCCUGUAGAUCAUCAGACAAUCCCUGACAGCUCUUCCAUCCCAGAGGUAGCGGCCCAGGGUCCUGGCAGCCCCACACAUUGUAGGUGACACUGUCACCUUGCAGCGUCAAAAUGUUGCCCAUCCCUGUUAGGCUUGGAGUCACCGUCUUCCCUCUUUGAGCCUCUAACUCUGGCUCUGGGCUACUGCCUAAACCAGCCCAGGCAUUUCACAGACAUCUACCCUGUCCCAGAGGCUUCAGAGAAGCAAGGGGCAGCAGAGGAGAGCCACAGAGGAGGGUGACCCACUUUACAGGUGAGAAAACUAAGCCUUAGGCCACAUGUGGACCUGCUGAGCUGGGGUCCACCUCCCUACCCACUGUGAGACCCUGGAGCAGGAGAGUAGGAAAACAAAACAAAACCCAGUCUGGUCUUGUUUGCUCUCGGCUACGGUGACAGAGGCAGGACCACACACUUCUGAGAGCCCUGCCGUCUCUCUUUCUUCAUGCUGGCUCCUCCUCACCCAGUCGGUCCCCGUUGGAUGCCACUUUACAAGCACGGCCCAGAGUUCAAAUUACCUGCCAGAAGUCAACAAUGAGAAAGUUGCCAGAGCCCAGGACCUGUCCUCAUGCAAACUGGCUUAAACUCAUCCUGCUGGCCAGAGAACUGUGGCCUGUGGCAAUGGGGGGGCGGGAACUGGUCCCAGAUGUUUUCUGAUCAAUUCUGAUAAACAAAGGCUGCCCUUUGACCACAGGGAAGGUACUUCCCAAGCCACUUCAAGCUCUAGCCGCUGUUCCCAGGGCAGGAAGCUGCACCCUGGGAGUCACAGCAGCCCACGCCGGCUGGCAGAGCUCAGCUCGGGCUGGAUGCAGAGAAAAACUGCUGGUCCCUAGGGGUGUGGCAGGAGCCGAAGGCCUCUCUCUCCCACCUUGUCCUCACGGUCCAGUUUUCCCAGGAAUCCCUUGGAUGCUAAGAUGGGGAUUCCUGGAAAUACUGUUCUUGAGGUCAUGGCUUAACGGCUGGAGCUGCCUGCUUGCCACCCUGGCAUUUCCUGUCUGGGAUGCGGGAGGAGAAGGCGGUACCCUGGAGGUAAGAGGCCACGGGAGACCCCUCUGACCUUUGCAUUGCUUUUCUUUCCGCUGUGUCCGUAUUUCAUAACACCCCCGGGAGGCUGGAUGUGGGAACCUCGAACCGCCUCACUCUUGAGAAACUUGUCCCAAGUCGCAGUGGUUGAAGCAGGACCCCGGGGCAGCCUUCCCUCCACUCUGACCCUCAGCAUUCCUUCCCUGCGGGAGGAAAGGGGGAGCCAUAGGUCCAUAUCCACAUUAUUAGGAGAAUUAUACACAUAUUUAUUUUAAACUCUUAUUAAAUCUGUUAGAUAAGCUAAAAACCCUUCAUCUCUGUUGGAUUCAGAGCGCAGCAGCCACUGGAAACAGCUUUCGAGGUAGAAAAAUACAAGUUUCGGAGCGCCCCCUGGUGGUAUUUCUGCCCGCUGCAGGAACACUGCUAUUUCCCCAUGCACUGACAGCGCAGGAAUCUCUCUGCAGACGGCCUUCCUGUUUUCUACACACUUCUACCAAAAUUCUUUCUGCCCAAUCACUUUUGAGCCACUGACUGACUUGCUUAAGCCUUAUUAAUCUCUUUCCAGAGAUGCUUCUGCGUCUUACAGUUGGCUUUUCUUUAAGCCCAAACCAGGGCAAGUUCACCUAGACAGCAAAAGGCAAAGGAGAGAUAGAGUUCAAGUUCCAUGGCGCCUGGCAUCGAAUGUCUGAGCCAGAAAGAAAAGUAGGGGGAAGUACUCCUCCCUUAUAGCUCCCUGCUCCCCAACUCUUGGGAGUUCUUUCUCGUUUUUCCUUAAUAAAUCUUUGCUGCGCUUUAAAACAAUCUAGUUUGAGGCCAGCCCAGUCUAUGCAGUGAGUUCCAGGACAGCCAGAGUUACAUAGUGCUACAUGUCUCUGCAUAGUGAGACCCUGUCUCAUAAAAAAAAAUCUAUAGCCAGGAUACAGAUAGAGUGACCGCUUACAGUGUGUGAAUCCCUGGGUUCCAUGCCUAGCACUUGUGCAAAUCAGGUGUGGUGGUACAUGCCCGUAAUCCCAGCACACGGCAGGAAGAUGGGACAUGUACAGUUAUCCUUGGCUAAACAGUGAGCUUGAGGCCAAUCUGGGCUUUCAUGAGACCCUAUCUCGAGAGGAGGAAGGUGAAGCAAAAACUACAAAGAAAAUUAAAAAUAAAAAGACCACCUUCUCCUGCUGCACAUACAGAAGGCUGACUGGAUGGAUGUCAAAAUCCUUGAUGGGACCCAGGUAUAAAACUAGAGCUUAGGCUGGGGAGAUGAGGUGGCUUCCCAUCAGAGUCCACCCAGAGCAAACUAGAACCCAUGUGAUGAAAGGAGAAAAGUGACUCCUGAAAAUUGUCCUCUGACCUCCACGUGCCGGGCAUGCUAUGUGCCGUCAGUAUGCACACGCAUCACAAAAAUAAAUGUGAAGGGAAAACUAGAACUUUGGGGGCUACGGGGUGGCCCAGUCAGUAAAGUGCUGGGUUCGGAUGCCCAGUGCCUAUGCAGAAAGCCAGCUGUGGGGUCACACUUAUAAUCCCGGUGCUGGUGGGGAGAGAGACAGGAGGACCCUGGAAUCUGCAGUCGGCCAGUCUGGCCAAAAUUGGUGAGCUCUGGGUUUAGUGAGAAAUACUAUCUCAAAAUCACAAGGUGGAGAGUGACAGAGGACACUAACCCUGUGCACACACUCAAACACACACACACACACACACACACGCACGCACGCAUGCACGCACCCACAUAUUGGAAUCUCCUUUAACUGUCCCUGGUUAAAGGAACAGUUGAUGAGUUGGAAGAGGUGGUAACUGUCAUGACUCCAAAGCCCUCAGUUUGGGGCAUGGCAUCAUAUCUCCAGAGACCAGGUAGUUCCCAGGGGUAUGCCAAGCUAUGCUCUUAGCAAGCACCCAGAAGACACUUGGGAAGAGAGACGGCCUCCUGCUCACACUCCGAGGCCGUUGCUGACCCCACUCUCUGUCUCUUUACCAUCCGCUGGGCCCAUGUUACACACUCACAGCAUUUCUCGGUCCUCACACGACCUAGUGAAGCAGCAUGCAAGCCCGUGCUGCACACUCAAGCCCGUGUUGCACACUCAAGCCCGUGUUGCACACUUACAGCAUCGUUCGGUCCUCACGCCACCUAGUGAAGCAGCACACAAGCCCGUGUUGCACACUCAAGCCCGUGCUGCACACACAAGCCCGUGCUGCACACACAAGCCCGUGCUGCACACUCAAGCCCGUGUUGCACACUCAAGCCCGUGCUGCACACUCAAGCCCGUGCUGCACACUCAAGCCCGUGCUGCACACUCAAGCCCGUGCUGCACACACAAGCCCGUGCUGCACACACAAGCCCGUGCUGCACACACAAGCCCGUGCUGCACACUCAAGCCCGUGUUGCACACUCAAGCCCGUGUUGCACACUUACAGCAUCGUUCGGUCCUCACGCCACCCAGUGAAAUAUCACACAAGGAGCCCAAGGCUAAAAGAGGUUAAGACACCCUUGGUUCACACUUAGUGUCACAACUAGGAUCCAGCCAAUGCUUACAAUUCCCACCAUCAUACUGUUCCCCACCCAUUGGGCCUGGCUCAGGCUCCCCCCCUCUCCCCCCCGCCCCUCCCCUCUCUAGGCUUUCCCCCUGGGGAAGAAAAUCAAGCCUUCUUCUCUGUGUUCUUCAACAGUAAUAAAGUGCUGGAUCUUU